AAGUUAAGAAACUAAUUCUUAACUUUUAACUAAAAAAGCUAAAAACCGGUUCUUAAAUAAGGACUUUAAGAACCGGUUCUUAGUUUUUUUAAUUAAAAGUUAAGAAACAGUUUCUUAACUUCGCUAAGAACCCAACUCUAAGAACCUCAGGUUAAUCAUGGUCUUAGGUUCUAGAGUUCUCUCUCCUUCCAUCUCAAACCUCCACCACGAUUCUAUCUCAAAACACCUCCAAUCUCUCCGUAACCACCACGAUUCUAUCUAAAACCACCACGGAUCUCCCCUCUUUCCAUCACUCCCGACGAUUAAAUUUCAAAGCACCAUUUUAACUCAAACCACCGAGAGAUCUCUGUGACUACGAAUUUCUCGUCUUCCAUUAAUCCCGACGAUUCCUCUCCAAGAAUCUCUGUUACCACCACGAUUUCAUCUCAUGAAUCUCUGUUAAAGAUCCAGACUGAUUCGAAUCCUAACAGAUCUCGAAAGUCUCCAUAUCAAGGAAACUCCAAUGGAAGCAAGGAAGGGCAUCAUCUGUGGACUCGCGGCAUGUGGAGUUAAACCACAACUCAAAAAACAACAUCCAGAAGAAGAACAAGGAAAGACCUCAGGAGGAAACGAUGCGGAAGAGAUAACUAGAACCGAGUUCAGACGCUCUCAAGGGUACUUGAUACGCAUUGAGGAACCUGAAGAAGACAUCGACCCAGUGUUCUUGCACUGUCUGUGAGCACUCGAUGCCCGCAACUCAACCCCAGCGAGACGCCCACAACAACAACAAGGACAGUCCUCACGAGGCAAGGGUGGUCGUCAAAACUAAUGGGAUGGUUCUAUAAUUGUUUUCUUUCAUUCUGUGUUUUGCUUUUUCAUUAUCUCAUCUACUGUAUUAACAUUUUAUUGUUUUGACAUUUUUGUCAUUUCUAUAGAUCUAUUAAUUUGAUUGAAUUA